rnacentral:rRNA from 1 species
UACAGAGGUGGCAAGCGUUGUUCGGAAUUACUGGGCGUAAAGGGCGCGUAGGCGGCCUUCUAAGUCAGACGUGAAAUCCCCCGGCUUAACCUGGGAACUGCGUCUGAUACUGGGAGGCUUGAGUAUGGGAGAGGGAUGUAAAAUUCCAGGUGUAGCGGUGAAAUGCGUAGAUAUCUGGAGGAAUACCGGUGGCGAAGGCGGCAUCCUGGACCAUAACUGACGCUGAGGCGCGAAAGCUAGGGGAGCAAACGGG